AUAGCUCAGUGGUAGAGUGCUUGCCUAGCAUGCACGAGGCCCUGGGUUUCAAUCCCCAGU
rnacentral:tRNA from 1 species